rnacentral:lncRNA from 1 species
GGUGGGUGUUGUGCUGGGCUCCCUCGGGGUUCUUUGCCUAGCUGUUGGGCUAAGUCAAAGGUUUGUCGGGUUCCUGAAGAUGCGUCGACGUGUUAUCAUCCACGCAAGCUUCCCCAACCCAGCCAGUGUACCACAAGACAACAGGCACUGAGGAGGACGGGAGGAGGGAGCGCGCGGCUGCUGCAGCAUGCACCAUUCAACAGGACGGCAUUGUAUUCCUCCCACAGGAGUGACUACAGCGAAGCAAGCCCAGAAUAAAGCGUUGAGUGACCGUGAUGAUUCAGUACUGCUAACACCAAACAAGUGAGGGAAGUGUUUGGAGUGAGCGUGCAAGACAU